CCUACGGGGGGCUGCAGUGGGGAAUAUUGGACAUUGGGGGCAACCCUGAUCCAGCCAUGCCGCGUGUGUGAAGAAGGCCCUCGGGUUGUAAAGCACUUUCAGUGAGGAAGAACGCCUGGUGGUUAAUACCCAUCAGGAAAGACAUCACUCACAGAAGAAGCACCGGCUAACUCCGUGCCAGCAGCCGCGGUAAUACGGAGGGUGCGAGCGUUAAUCGGAAUUACUGGGCGUAAAGCGCGCGUAGGUGGCUUGAUAAGCCGGUUGUGAAAGCCCCGGGCUCAACCUGGGAACGGCAUCCGGAACUGUCAAGCUAGAGUGCAGGAGAGGAAGGUAGAAUUCCCGGUGUAGCGGUGAAAUGCGUAGAGAUCGGGAGGAAUACCAGUGGCGAAGGCGGCCUUCUGGACUGACACUGACACUGAGGUGCGAAAGCGUGGGUAGCAAACAGGAUUAGAUACCCCUGUAGUC
rnacentral:rRNA from 1 species